rnacentral:rRNA from 1 species
GACGAACGCUGGCGGCGUGCUUAACACAUGCAAGUCGAACGGAAAGGCCCUGCUUUUGUGGGGUGCUCGAGUGGCGAACGGGUGAGUAACACGUGAGUAACCUGCCCUUUACUUUGGGAUAACUUCAGGAAACUGGGGCUAAUACCGGAUAGGAGCUCCUGCUGCAUGGUGUGGGUUGGAAAGUUUCGGCGGUUGGGGAUGGACUCGCGGCUUAUCAGCUUGUUGGUUGGGUAGUGGCUUACCAAGGCUUUGACGGGUAGCCGGCCUGAGAGGGUGACAGGACACAAGGGGACUGAGAUACGGCCCAGAAUCCAACGGGAGGAAGAAGUGGGGAAUAUUGCAAAAUGGGCGGAAGCAUGAUGAAGCAACGGAGCGAGCGGGAAGACGGACUUCGGGUUGUAAACAGCUUUAGAAUGUGACGAAGCGGGAGUGACGGUAAUGGGUAAAGAAGCACCGGCUAACUACGUG